rnacentral:rRNA from 1 species
GGUGAACGCUGGCGGCGUGCCUAAUACAUGCAAGUCGAGCGAACAGAUAAGGAGCUUGCUCCUUUGACGUUAGCGGCGGACGGGUGAGUAACACGUGGGUAACCUACCUAUAAGACUGGGAUAACUUCGGGAAACCGGAGCUAAUACCGGAUAAUAUUUCGAACCGCAUGGUUCGAUAGUGAAAGAUGGUUUUGCUAUCACUUAUAGAUGGACCCGCGCCGUAUUAGCUAGUUGGUAAGGUAACGGCUUACCAAGGCGACGAUACGUAGCCGACCUGAGAGGGUGAUCGGCCACACUGGAACUGAGACACGGUCCAGACUCCUACGGGAGGCAGCAGUAGGGAAUCUUCCGCAAUGGGCGAAAGCCUGACGGAGCAACGCCGCGUGAGUGAUGAAGGUCUUCGGAUCGUAAAACUCUGUUAUUAGGGAAGAACAUACGUGUAAGUAACUGUGCACGUCUUGACGGUACCUAAUCAGAAAGCCACGGCUAACUACGUG